UAGAGUUGUGGGACCUUCUCUGUCGUUGUGGCAGGCUCCUCGACUCCACAGGUCUCCAUGACCUUUCUUGCUGCUUGAGUGCUGGUCGCUUCGCGCGUCAUACGGAGUUGAACCUGUUACUCAAGAGGAGCUUGUCCCGAGUAAAACAUCCCCUCCACCUUGGAACCAUCUGGAUUGUCCAGAUGUGAUGGGAGGAGAACUGACGGCCUCACCAUGGCCGCAAGGUAGAUGCCUUGUCUUGGAUGUCACAGUUAGCGACUCCUUUGCUUCUUCUCACAUCCUGGAUGCUGCGGUCAGCUUCUACGGCCGAGCGGAACAAAAUCCAGAAAUACCGCGAUCUGUCGGCCAACUACAUUUUCUAUCCUGUGACGUUCGAGAUAUUUGGUGGGGUCGGACCACUAACUGCGAGAUUCCUGUCUUCACUGGCAACUCGCCUUGCAGAGGUAACUGAUGAAGCUCGUGAGGGCGCAUGGCUGUUCCAGCGCACCAGCCUCGCCAUCAUCCGCGGCAAGCGUGUCUCAAUAGCCAUGAGAAUGGUUUACCAGCGCCCCCAACAUUUCAACCCAAGCAAGCUGAGUAAUUAAGAUUCUGCGUUGGCUCGACUGGAAUAAAUUUUCAGAGGGAACAACACUGUCGGGAAGUUCCGAAAUCAUUGUAAUGUUCAAACGACAGUCGACGAGGGGAGUGUCACCGCAGUGCAAGCUGUAUAUAAAUAAUCGUAAAUAUAUAUAUAUAUAUAUACAUAUAUAUAAAUCAUUUCUAAGUAAGAGACAGAAAACAAGUAUUCUAGGUGAAUAUAACAAUUAAUCAUUAAAUUCAAUAAAAUAUUUUUCCUAGCUAUUGUACCAUGAUGCUUUGGAAUAAAUACUUCCGCUUAUAAUUUUUUUUGCCCGUUGAAAAUAAUUAUCUCCCUUUACGAAACACGCCAAAGCAACCAUCAGGUUGUUCACUCUCAACAUUCAAAAUG